GGCCGCGGGAAUUCGAUUCAGGCCUAACACAUGCAAGUCGAACGGCAGCACGGACUUCGGUCUGGUGGCGAGUGGCGAACGGGUGAGUAAUAUAUCGGAACGUGCCCAGUCGUGGGGGAUAACGUAGUGAAAAUUACGCUAAUACCGCAUACGAUCUACGGAUGAAAGCGGGGGAUCGCAAGACCUCGCGCGAUUGGAGCGGCCGAUAUCAGAUUAGGUAGUUGGUGAGGUAAAGGCUCACCAAGCCGACGAUCUGUAGCUGGUCUGAAAGGACGACCAGCCACACUGGAACUGAGACACGGUCCAGACUCCUACGGGAGGCAGCAGUGGGGAAUUUUGGACAAUGGACGCAAGUCUGAUCCAGCCAAGCCGCGUGCAGGACGAGGGCCUUCGGGUUGUAAACUUAAUGGUACAGAACGAAAAGGUCUCUAUUAAUACUAGGGGC
rnacentral:rRNA from 1 species